CCGGACCGGCGCACGGGUGAGUAACACGUAUGGAACCUGCCCGCAGCAGGGGGAUAAGCGGAAGAAAUUCCGUCUAAUACCGCGUAACACCGCGGAGGGGCAUCCCUCGGCGGUUAAAGAUUCAUCGGCUGCGGAUGGCCAUGCGGCGCAUUAGCUAGUCGGCGGGGUAACGGCCCACCGAGGCGACGAUGCGUAGGGGUUCUGAGAGGAAGGUCCCCCACACUGGUACUGAGACACGGACCAGACUCCUACGGGAGGCAGCAG
rnacentral:rRNA from 1 species